UUAAUAAAAAUUGAAAAUAAAAAUGAAGUUUUUCUCUUUCUUUUGUGGCUUCUUACUCCCCAAAUUCAUCUCGCUGUGCCGCAUACCUGCUGAAUUCUGUGGUUCAGGUUGUGCAGACUGUUGUGUUAAUCCUCCAAUCAGUUUUCUAGGUGUUUAGGAUGGUUUAGUGUUGGUCUGGCUGUAUUUCAGGGACAUGAGACACACAAAAAACUUCCAUGCUGUUCUGCCAUCUUGGUUCCUCCCUAGGCAUUAUUAAUUUUGAACCACACUUUAAAAAAUUUAACUUGUGUGUAGAAUAAGUAAAUAUUUAAGGCUACAUAAAUUCAUUUUGUUGUUUCCCAAACAUGUUCAUAAUACAUUACCCUAUUCUGUUUCCUUUUUAUUCAAACACCAUCUAGUGCUUUUUAUGGUCUACAAUGACUGAAACAUGCUUGGAUGAGAAUGGACACACCCAUUUCUUCUUCCAUGUUGACAUCUUGGCUCCAGUGAUGUCGAAAGCUACCAUGCCAACCUCUACUAGUCACACAAGCGAGUUUCGGAUUGUAUCCAGUUUUUCCCUGUGAACCUCCGGCCUCCUUUGUGGGAUGCUUGCCCUCACCAUGGCACAUGAGAAGCCCAAGUAAGGACUUAAGACUGUGAACAAGGAUCUCAUUAUUUUGACAAUUGCAGGGUAAGAUGAGUCACAUAACAAUCCCAUAAUGUACACCUGGAUCAGGUUCUAGUGUGGUGGCAGUGUGUGUGAGAAUGGAAAUGGAGGAGGGGGAUUGGGAUGGUCCAGCAGGAGACAGAAAGUUUAGCUUUUCAAAAGGUUCCUCCUUGAUCCUUAGCUCCAGAACUGUGCUCCCAUAGAUCACAUUUCAACGCAGUUAGAAAAUUGCAAUUUACUUUGGUCAUUUCCUGACCACUACACUAGACUUUCUUUGGCUUGAUUGUCUGGCCCCCACCCCUUUUGCAGGUCUGAUUAUAUUGAAAUCAAAAGAGAUGGGGCAGGCAAAACCAAACUCGUUUUGUGAAAAUAGACCCUUUCUUCAUUUAGGGCCUAAUUAUUCAACUUCCCUUAUAUCCUAGUAAAUCUUUUGCUUUCAUUCUUUAAUAAGAAACAAAUCUUGCAUGUCUUGAUUAGUUAGAUAAUUUUAGAGCUUUUCUUGUGUUACUGUAAAACAAAGUAUUUUUAAAGACACAUCUGUGGGCAGCUAAUUUAAGUAGGGCAUUCUCUGUAUUUAGGGAGAGAUAAAUUUCACUAAAGAAGUUAAUCUUGGGUUACUCUUUCUUUCAAGUCAAGGAAUUUGAUACUUGUGGCAGAGGCCACUGAAGGUCCAAAACUAGAUGUCACUUCUCAGCCUCUCUUGCAGCUAGGUGUGGCUUUCCUUGCCUGUGAGAUAUGAGUGGAAGUCACUGCUCCUCUCCCAGGCCUGACUUGUAAACAUCUCCCGUGGGCAAGCCCCAUUCUCUUCUACAUUUCUCUGUUGAAUGGAGAGAUUCAAAGACUUGAAAGAGAUCAGAGUUAGAGAAUAAAGGAAACUGAGUCCUGAGAAACUUUGUAGAG
rnacentral:lncRNA from 1 species